AGCAGUCUCCUGUUUCUCCUCCUACCUUCUCCAUUUUUCUAGUCCCUGCAGGUAGGAUCCUGGGGGUUAACUCCCUUUUCACCAAGCUCCCGAGGGCCCUCGACCCCUCGGCCUCUUACCUCAGCGGCUUUAGCACUUUCCCCUACAGCCCCACCCCCAGGACCAGCCUGAGUGGCUGCGCUCACCACGACGAGGACCGCGGCGUGUUCGCCCCCCAACAGACGGAGCCAGCGGCGAAGGCGGCGUGCGCGCGCCCGUGCCGUGGUGGGCGUGGCCGGGGCGGAGACGCGAGGAGGGGAGCAGAGAACGCGCUCGCGUAGAGGAAUUCCGGGUCCUCCUCCUCGCCCUACCUUGGUUUACCUGCAGCCGCCUAGUCCUCUUCUCCUUCUCUUUGAUGAUUCAGGGCCUCGGCUUCCCUCACGAUAUUGCAGAAAGACACAGCUUUCCUCUUCCUCUCCAAACCACCUCGAAGCAGGGGCAUAAUUGGAAUAUCAUUUGGAGAAAGUGUCAUGGAAGUUCUGCGUCCACAGCUUAUAAGAAUUGAUGGCCGGAAUUACAGGAAGAAUCCAGUCCAAGAACAGACCUAUCAACAUGAAGAAGAUGAAGAGGACUUCUAUCAAGGCUGGAGUGCAGUGGCGUGAUCUGGGCUCUCUGCAACCUCUACCUCCCGGGUUCAAGCAAUUCUCCUGCCUCAUCUUCCCCAGUAGCUGGAACUACAGGCUCCAUGGAGUGUGCUGAUGAGCCCUGUGAUGCCUACGAGGUGGAGCAGACCCCACAAGGAUUCCGGUCUACUUUGAGGGCCCCCAGCUUGCUCUAUAAGCAUAUAGUUGGAAAGAGAGGGGACACUAGGAAGAAAAUAGAAAUGGAGACCAAAACUUCUAUUAGCAUUCCUAAACCUGGAC
rnacentral:lncRNA from 10 species